GGCGCAGUGGCUGAGUGGUAAAGCGCUUGGCGUCCAAACCGAGGUUCCGGGUUCGAAUCCUGGUGAACUG
rnacentral:tRNA from 1 species